CCUACGGGAGGCAGCAGUGGGGGAUAUUGCACAAUGGGGGGAACCCUGAUGCAGCGACGCCGCGUGGGUGAAGAAGCGCCUCGGCGCGUAAAGCCCUGUCAGCAGGGAAGAAAAUGACGGUACCUGAAGAAUAAGCCCCGGCUAACUACGUGCCAGCAGCCGCGGUAAUACGUAGGGGGCAAGCGUUAUCCGGAUUUACUGGGUGUAAAGGGGGCGCAGGCGGGGGUGCAAGGCAGGGGUGAAAGCCAGGGGCCCAACCCCGGGACUGCUCUUGGAACUGCUGGGCUGGAGUUCGGGAGGGGCAGGCGGAAUUCCUGGUGUAGCGGUGAAAUGCGUAGAUAUCAGGAGGAACACCGAUGGCGAAGGCGGCCUGCUGGACUGCAACUGACGUUGAGGCCCGAAAGCGUGGGGAGCAAACAGGAUUAGAUACCCGAGUAGUC
rnacentral:rRNA from 1 species